rnacentral:ncRNA from 1 species
GUAAAGCUUGGCUCUGACUUAUUAAUACAGCGAGAACUAAAGAAAACACAUGAUUUCUGUUGAACUAGGCAAGGAUAAAAGUAACAAAAAAAUAAUGGAAAAUUAAAGGAUUUGUUUCUUUUAAUGGUAUUAUAAAGAUAGACAAUGCCUCAAAAGUCUUGCUAACAUCAGUGUUGAAGGUUGAUUAAAAGCGUAAGCUUGUAUUAAUUUAGUUUACAUAAAUCCGGUUAAUCUGGUGCCAGCAUCCGCGGUUAAACCAGGGGAUUAAGUUGUAUUUUAUGGUAAAAAGACAGUUAUGUGGAAUAAACGGUUUAAUUCACUGUGUUAUCAGGAGGUAGAAUUCAAAGAUAAACAAUUAUACUUAAUAAAACCGGUGUACUGAAGCUGUGAUAACUUUGAGGGAAACUAGGAUUAGAUACCCUAUUAUUCAUAGAAGUAAAUAAGAAUAUUCUACCAGAGUACUAAGAACAAAAAAUUUAAAACUCAAAGGGCUUGGCGGUGUUUUAGACUACUUAGGGGAACCUGUCUCAUAAUCGACAAUCCGCGUUAAACCUAACCUUUUUUUGCAUUCAGUUUGUAUACCGUCGUCGCCAGGUAACUUUUAAGAAAUGAAUAGUUAGCUAGCUAAAUAUUUAAAUUAAGACGUCAGAUCAAGGUGCAGCUAAUAAUAAGGUGUAGAUGGGUUACAAUUAUUAAUAUUCGUAAUAACGGAUAAUGGCUUUAAAGGCAAUUAGAAAGGGGGACUUAAAAGUAAAAUAGACUAUAUAAAUAUCUUGAAUAAAGCUCUGAAACGUGCACACAUCGCCCGUCGCUCUCGUUAAAAAAUGAGAUAAGUCGUAACAUAGCAGGGGUAAUGGAAAUUGUCCCUAUAUUAAA